rnacentral:rRNA from 14 species
CGGGAAUGUAGAUACAGGUGGUGCAUGGCUGUCGUCAGCUCGUGUCGUGAGAUGUUCGGUUAAGUCCGGCAACGAGCGCAACCCACAUCUUUAGUUGCCAGCAGUUCGGCUGGGCACUCUAGAGGAACCGCCGGUGAUAAGCCGGAGGAAGGUGGGGAUGACGUCAAGUCCGCAUGGCCUUUAUGCCCAGGGCUGCACACGUGCUACAAUGGUAUGUACAGAGCGACGCGAUACCGUAAGGUGGAGCAAAUCGCAGAAAGCAUGCCUCAGUUCGGAUUGUGGUCUGCAACUCGA